UUAGACACCGUCAACAAACAAGGAGAACCAGCAGAUUUUAUUUCAAUCAAGUUAAACCAAAUUUAAGGCAAAAAAAAGAGAGGAGAGGGUUAAAAAAGCCUGCUUCGGACUUCUGAGACCUUCCAAGUUCCAAUUUCACAGCAUCAUUCAUGCACAAGAACUCCAAGACACAAAAUUUGACAGCCGGCCGGUUUAAUCAAAAAGGCUCGUUUCCUGAACUUCAAACCGUUACCGAAUUAAAAUUCAAUUCGCCGUCCCUUGCCAAAUUCUGAAACCGGUUUACUAAUAAAAAUCCGAUGUAGACCCAUAAAAGCCCAAUUAAACUGUUCUGUUUUCUUAUUUGGGCCUACCUAAUUCAGGAAGUU